AUCUAGUUAUCUAGAAACAAGUUCACAAUGAUGGCCAGUCACAAGAACGUUCGAAACUAGAAUAGAUUAAGCACAAAGAUUAAGAACUAAACAUGGCAUGUAAUUAGAUAAUAAUCAACAAGAUACUUCGGAAAUAAUCAUAUCAUGGUUUCAUCAUAAGAAGUAGUUUAGUUACACAUAGUCAUAAUAAAAAUCACAAAAGAAGUCAUGGAAAAGAUAAAACCCGGAAAAGAAUGGUAAACAUGCUAGACUUCCUUCCUUCCUUCCCUUUGGACGACUUUUCUCUUGUUCCGUUCUUAAGAUAGCCUAGGGCACUCUAUUUAUUGUAAUAAAAUUCUAAAAAGUCUGAUAAAAAAAACUCUCCUAAAAGAGAACAAAUUCCUAAAUAAUCAAUGAGAGAAACCAGGAAAGAAUCCUUCUUGACUUGGGAAACAUGGCAUUUGACUUGCACGUUAAAUUUGAGGUUGAUUUCUCUUCUGGAAAAUUCUGUAAAAAUAUGAGCAACAUAUCUUUGUCUCUUAUCUUUCCAGGCAUAUAUCACAUGCCACUAGAAAAAAUCGGGAAAACCUUCAAAUCUUCAUUCUCCUACAGUCGCACAGUUCUGAUGGGAAAACUACUUCUGCAGGAUUAACUUUGAAAACUGGAACGUUUGGCUCCAUGGAAAAUUAUGAAAUGUGGACAUAAUGAUCUUCCGCCUCUUAGCUUCCUUCUCCAUUUAUCCUUGCAUCAAAACUCUUCCGAAAAGUCGGAUUAUCACAAAAAACGUUCUUCAUGCGCAGAUUGGCUGAAACAGAGAAAAGGAAAGUAAUAAGGCUCUUUUAAGACCAAUUCCUUAAACAAAACUUAGUGAUAA
rnacentral:lncRNA from 1 species